UUAUUUUAAGUUAAUAGUGUACUGGUUAUAACUAAUAUCAAAUCUUUACUAAUACUUGAUUUCUUUUUAUGAUGGUUGACUUUGCGAGAACUAACGGAGCAUUAGUGUCAAGAAUGGGCUGAGAUUCGAAUUCAGUCGGUUUUUCGCUCUUUUUUGACAAAAAGGGAUCAAGAUCGGGACCGUCCAUUUGACUUCACACGGAUCACCAUAUGCUUUCUCUCUCAAUGCUCACACAUCUCACAAAAAGGGAUGCCAAAAGCAGGGAAGUACAAUCUACAGGAAAAAGCAACACUUUACUUUUGUGUGAAAGACAGCUUGCUUGCUGCAGUCUCUAUAAUAUAUCAACACUCUUCCAUACACUGUUUGAAAGACAGCACUGCUUGCUUCAGUCUAUAAAUAAUCCAGAGAUAUCUACACUCUACUCACACUUUACAAACUCUCAACUACACUCAACUGAAAUUAAUAUAUCAACUCUUUGCAUUCGGAUCUUGCGUUGUUUCUCGGCUCUCACAUCAAGGUUUUAAAAUUUUUGUCGGCUUUUCACUAUGAUGGUUGCAUUGUUGUAAGUUCUUUCAAAUAUGACAUAGUGAAAGGAUAAAUU